GUUCUGUCUGUGGUUCUUCACUUGGAAUGGCUCAUUUUACAUAAGCAUGCCAUCACUCAAGCCCUCUGCUUACACGAAAAUGUUCCAAGUGGCCAGAGAGGACAGGUAUGAGUGUGUUAAGCUCUGACCACUUCGAACUUCUGAAGUGGAGCUACUCCUGUACUCGGUGGCGGAGGAACCCUCUCCUGCACCCAUGGCGGGACGCCGAGGGGUGGGGCGAACUGCCAGUGAUUCACACACAACGUCCGUACGGACUGCACAUGUGCGGCAUCCUGUACAGAGUGGGCACAUGCGACAACCAUAAGGGCUGCCACACAUGUGCAAUCCAUAUGGGAUGCUGCAAAUGCGCAGUCCGUACAGGCUGCCACUUGCCUGCGAUGGCUGUACUGUACUGAGCGGCAUCCUGUACUGAGUGCGCAUGUGUGGCAUCCCAUACGGCAUCCUGGUCUGAGUGCGCAUGUGUGGCAUCCCGUAUGGAGUGUGCAUGUGCGGCAUCCCAUACAGAGUGCGAACAUGCAGCAGCCUGUACAGUCGCUGUGCUAGAGGCAGCCCAUACGGACACCUGUAUGGAUGGUGCGCACAAGUGACAGCCCGUACGGUUGCCAUGCGAAAGGCAGCCCGUACGGACGCCGCGUGAGCGGCGCCCUUACUGACUGUGCAUGCCCUCGACCGCUCUACAGCUGGGAGGAGGCAGGGGCCAUCUUGUCACACCCCACCCAGAGUGGCACCCAGGGCAAACCACCCCCUCCGCCCCCACUUUGUAUGCCCCUGCCUGUACUGCCUAGGGUUUCAGAAACCUGCACAAUUCAGGUUCUAAACCAUGUAGUAAAAGGUAAAGGUGAAGGACCCCUGGACAGUUAAAUCCAGUCAAAAGUGUCUAUGGGGUUGCAGUGCUCAUCUCGCUUUCAGGCUGAGGGAGUCAAUGUUUGUCCACAGACAGCUUUCUGGGUCAUGUGGCGAGCAUGACUAAACCACUUCUGGCACAACAGAACACCGUGACAGAAGCCAGAGCACAUGGAAACACUGUUUACCUUCCCGCCACAGUGGUACCUAUUUAUCUACUUCCACUGGCAUGCUUUCGAACUGUUUGGUUGGCAGAAGCUGGGACAGAGCAACAGGAGCUCACUCCAUCAUUGGGAUUAGAACAGCCGACCUACUGAUUGUCAAACCCAAGAGGCUCAGUGGUUUAGACCACAGCAACCCACUGAGCCUACACGACUGCUUGGAGAAUCCCCAUUUCAGAAGUUCAUCAUCCACAAGCUGGAAGGUGAUAGGGAUUGCUCAUUCCUGCUAUCUUCCUUAGGUUUAGUUUGUUUUGUCCCCCACUCUCCCUGUGCUCAUGAAACAAUUGCAUAUAGCUACUGUGUCUUCUGUCUUCAAGCAAUAAGGAAGCACAUCUGAACAAGACCAGUUCAAACAUUGUAACAUGGCACUUUGAAUUUGCUGUGAUUCCUCAAUUGAAAGGGGUUCAACUAGAUGACCCUUUGAGUUCCUUGGAACUCUACAAUUCUAUUUUUCUAUGAUAAAGAAGGCUUGAAGGCUUGGACCUAUGAGCUUCAUGGAAACGUGCUACUAAUAUUCCUUAUUUUUAAUACAAAGUAUUUUUUUAAAAAAAAGAAGUAGACUUUCUUUUGUACUGUUUCUGCUCUGCCAGUUUUAAAUAUCAUUUUACUGUGUGUUUGAGAUGGUUUUGUUCUGUUCUGGGUUUCGGAGUUCUGAGUUGGGAGUUUCGGCCAAGGAAAGGCCAGCAUGUAAAUGCUUUUAAAUAAGUAAACAGGUAAAUACAGACAAAUAAAUAGAGUGCUAAACUUCCCAAUUAAUCUUUAAAAUGUACCAGCCAUGCAUGGUAUGCAGUUCACUUUCCAAAGAUGAUCAGUAUACCCAUCUCCAUCAUUUAUGAAUGGCAAAUUUGAUCCAAUGCCAUGUUUUCCCCCAGUAAAAGAUGCCAAUUGUGUAUGUUCUCUCUACUUCUCCAGAGACUUUAAUGAAAAAGCUGUUUGUUGAAGAGUUUGUUAGUGUUCCUUUGCAUAAUGCGACUUUCUGAGGAAGAUCUGUUGAAUAUGGAAUGAACUAACAUUGCUCAUAAUUACAGCUGUAGGGGGGAAAUGAAUUGAAAUGAGAUAACAAAGUUUUCCAAUAAGGGUGCCUUCUGUAUUACAGGCUUGUAUCUACCCAAGACAAUCUCCCUCCGCUUUCUAUAUAUAUGGUAUUCUAUAUAGAGCUCAGCAAAAGUCCUCUUCUCUUCCCUUUCUGUUAUUGCAAAAGUGAGUAGUAGAAGCUAUUAAAAAGUAAAGGGUCCAGUCGCAGAUGACUCUGGGGUUGCGGCGCUCAUCUCGCUUUACUGGCUGAGGGAGCCGGCAUACAACUUCUGGGUCAUGUGGCCAGCAUGACUAAGCCGCUUCUGGUGAACCAGAGCAGCACACGGAAACGCCGUUUACCUUCCCGCCGGAGCGGUACCUAUUUAUCUACUUGAACUUUGACGUGCUUUUGAACUGCUAGGUUGGCAGGAGCAGGGACCGAGCAACGGGAGCUCACCCCGUCGCGGGGAUUCAAACCGCCGACCUUCUGAUCAGCAAGCCCUAGGCUCUGUGGUUUAACCCACAGUGCCACCUGCGUCCCUUAGUAGAAGCUAUCAAGCACCCACAAAUGAUGGCAAGUUUGGUUUGGUUUGGUUUGUGAAUUGCAAGUUGUGCAGGGGUGGGCGAGUCUGCCAAUGUUGGUUUCUCUCAGUUUCUCAUUUUGCCAUUCUUAAAUUCGGCUUUCCGUAUUUCUGUGUCAUUUAUUGAUUUGUUUUAGGAGUCCUCAUGAAAAUUCACCAGCAAAUUUGUCUCACAUGGGGAGGGGAGGCUCUGGCCACCUGCUUGCUCCACUUCGAGAUACUUUACUUGUACUAUCUGCCCAAUCAAGAAAACAUCCCAUCUUCUCCCAUCUAUUUUGCACUCAUUUCUACCUUCACCCCAUGUCUUCUGUUCCCAGCUCCUUUUGCACAGUCUCCCUUGUACAAAGACCACCCCCAUGGAAACCCUCUGCAUUGUCCUCAUGCAUUGCAGCUACUAAGCACCAUCUUUAAGGUAAAGGGACCCCUGACCAUUAGGUCCAGUCGUGACCGACUCUGGGUUUGCGACGCUCAUCUCGCUUUAUUGGCCGAGGGAGCUGGCGUACAGCUUCCGGGUCAUGUGGCCAGCAUGACUAAGCCGCUUCUGGUGAACCAGAGCAGCGCACGGAAAUGCUGUUUACCUUUCCGCCAGAGCGGUACCUAUUUAUCUAUUUGCACUUUGACGUGUUUUCGAACUGCUAGGUUGGCAGGAGCAGGGACCUAGCAAUGGGAGCUCACCCCGUCGCGGGGAUUUGAACCGCCGACCUUCUGAUCGGCAAGUCCUAGGCUCAGUGGUUUUACCCACAGCGCCACCCGCAUCCCCUGCACCAUCUUUACCUCCUGUCUCAUUAUGAACACACCAUCCCCUCCUAUUCUGCAGCUCCUUUCCUGUCCCCAUUUCCUCUUUACUGGUGACUUGUGUUUUCAUUGAUGCUGUGAACUGGUUUUGCAUUUCCAACUGAAAAGUGAAUACAAUGUUUGAACAAAUGAAUUAAAAAAAAAAAAAAGCCAGAGUUUUAGCCAUUUUAUUUAAAAUCCCAUGCAAGUCACAGAAUUCCAUGCAUUACUUUGUGUUUUGUAAUUGAAUCCCACUUUGCCUCUUUGAAAUUUUUGCCCUACAGCCACAGCCAUCUGCUUUCUCAUUCUGUCAGGGGAAGAUUUAUUUUGAUACCAUUUUUUGAAGUCUCUUAAUUUUCUUUGGUGCCCGCAUUGUAUCAAAUUAACGGACAGCGAUAUCUGAUUAGACAGAAGUUUGCAACACUGAUCAGUGUCUUUCUGACAUGAACAAAAGGUGUAGUUGGGGCCCAAUUAGCUUACCACCUGUUAAUAUUUUUACCAGAUCUUGCAGCACUUUGAUGAAUCUCCCAAUCCACUAAAUGUGAGAGCAAAGUGUCAUAUCUGUGAGUACGAAUAUCACCAUGAUAGUCAAUGCAAAAGUCUCUACAGCUGGAUCAGAUUGUAUGGCUGCUGUUCUAAGCCGUGUAAUCUAAUGCCAUUCCCUCUGGAGAAGGAGGGGAAUUGUACCUAUCGUUUCUGGAAGCCCACCUGUGAGCAACUGCCAGUGUGUAGACUUUUUCCCCUUCAAUUGGCAUGGGAUCAUGGCCAAGGCCAAGGCCAGGGGCGUGGAUCUAUUGUUCCAGAAGGGGGCUUAAGGGGAAAUCAUUAUUCAUUAUUAUUAUUUAUUGAAUUAAUAUAUCACCCUUUAUCAAAAGAUCCCAGGGCUAUGUACAACAUUAAAAACACAUUACAAAACAUCACUAAUAAAAAUGUGAGAUGCGGGUGGUGCUGUGGUCUAAACCACUGAGCCUCUUGGGCUUGCCAAUCAGAUGUUCAGCAGUUCGAAUCCCCACAACAGAGUGAGCUCCCAUUGCUCUGUCCCAACUCCUGCCAACCUAGCAGUUCGAUAGCACACCAGUACAAGUAGAUAAAUAGGUACCACUGUGGCAGGAAGGUAAAUGGCGUUUCCAUGUGCUCUGGUUUCCAUCAUGGUGUUCUCUUGUGCCAGAAGCAGUUUAGUCAUGCUGGCCACAUGACCCAGAAAAUUGUCUGUGAACAAAUGCCAGCUCCCUUGGCCUGAAAGUGAGAUGAGUGUCGCACCCCAUAGUCACCUUUGACUGGACUUAACCUUAAACUUUUUUUAAAAAAUAAAAUAAAAACUUAAUAAAAAACAUACUGACAGACAGAUAUGUAGUGAUGUAAAGGAUGCCUGAACUGUUUGUCGUGACACCUAAUGAACAAAAGAGCGUUAGACGUAUGUGCCCUUUCCCACAACGUGGAAAGGGAUGUGCAGAAAAAGGACAUCCGUGGUAUUACAGAUCCCGGAGCUAAUUCUCUCCACAUGGCUUCUAAAAGUGGGGGGUGUUAUAACCCCACACUAGUCGUAUACCAUGCUGAGGGAUAAGACAGUAUGUCUCUGAUUGCCACCAGCUUAGGAUCAUAAAUGUGGAGAGUGUUGCAGCACUCGGGUCCUUCUGGUGGGCUUCGUAUAAGAUAUCUGGUGAUGCUGUGAUACUAGGUGGGCUUUUGGUCUACUCUAGCAUGGUUCUUCUUCUGUUCCUAUGACACCUUCACACAGAGGAAAAAACCAGAUUGCUGAGCCAUAGAUGUGUGCACUAAUGAUGAUGAUGACGACUGCUUCAUUUCCCCUUACUCUUGAAUUACUCUAAUGGGACACGGUGUUUAUUGUUUCAUUCUUCAUUUGCUGGUGCUUUUCUUUCUUUUUUUGUGUGGGUGGUGGAGGAGGAGACUCUGGGGAGUGUCUGCAGCAAAAUGUUUGUGAAUUGAAAUUCCUGUUUCCUUCUUGAUGCUUUCGUUUCCAUUUUCUUGGCUAGUGUUUCAGUUCUCAGUAGAAUGCAGUUAUGGCAUGUGCCAAACACAUGAACUGGCUCAAUAGACAAUGGAAUCCAUGUGUGGUGGAAUCACAACUGAAGUGUAAUUAUAGACUUAAAUCAAGGGGUGUUAGAGCCACAAUGUAUAUAGCCUAAGCUAUAAAUGCAACAUAAAGUGGAGAGUUUUAAAGAAAUCUACAACUAUGGGAAAGACACCAGCUUCCUCAUUACUCAGCAACACUACCCAGCUCAGUUUUGAUUAUCUCUCACAAUUGUGGGUGAGUUAGAAAAGUGUAAUCUGAUUGCCGAUGAGCUUUCAAAAGAGAUGGGUUUUCCCAAAAAAGAUAAACUGGUCAAGGUUCAGCAGCACCUUAUACAGUCAUACCUCGGGUUACAGACGCUUCAGGUUGCACAUUUUUGGGUUGUGCACAGCGCCGAACCUGGAAGUACCGGAACAUGUUACUUCCAGGUUUCGGCACUCGUGCGUGCACAGAAGCACUAAAUCACACUUUGCGCAUGCACCUGAAGUGCCAAAUCAUGACCCAUGCGUGCGCACACGCAGCGCUGCAGGUUGUGAACGCUGCGGGUUGCGAACGUGCCUCCCUUACGGAUCACGUUUGCUACCCGAACGUCCACUGUAAUUACAAAUACCAGAAUAGUAGGGGUGGAUUGAUAUUUCAUUGCAGCACACCUAUGUUUGUGCAUAAAACAUGCAUCAAACAUCAUAACUGGAGGGUGGAGUCAAAGGAGAGAUUGGCCAUUGUUUCUAAUGGGGCAAAGUAUGACUAUGGAGAAAGGGGAAUUCAGAAUAAUGUCAAAUGUGUAACACUCUUUGUGGAGAGUCCCUUGCCCCAGACAGGCCAACGAUUAAGUUCACCAAGAAGAAGAAGACAUAAUUGAAGUUAGUUUUGGAAGACACAGAGUCUGUAGCCUUUCUUUUCUCUUUCAGCCUAAACACCACUCUGCCCCUGAAGUCUUUGCUCAUACUUCAUCUCCAUCUUCCUGCAUGGAGUGACACACUCUGAAGGGAGCUUCUACAUGCGCUCAGCUGAAGAUGCUUAGAAGCUUCCUUGAACUCAGCAAGUCUGCUGGCACAGACUUUUGCACAAAAUACACAGAGAUGAGGAGAGGAGGAGGUGAGGCCGAAGUUCAUGGAAAUGUUUGGGGGUGGAGACAGAACAGAAAGCCAUGGCUCUCUGGCACACUUUUUACCCUCAUGGUUUUCAGGCUGAACCUCUGAGGGGAGCUCAUUGGAUGAUGUAUUCUCACCAUUUUGAAAGCCUUAUCUGGAAUGCCAUUUUUUUAUAUCACUGUUGGUUUUGAUCACCUUCCCAUCUCCAGAGAUGGGAAAUGAAGUUAGUUGUACCAAUACCACAGCUGGGUAUACAGUGAUCAAUAUACGUUGCAUUCCGUUCCUAACCCUUUUUCAUUCUGUCAAUGUGUCUCAGGCAGGAAAAAGCAAAUUAAACAAUGACAAUAGCAGCUGUGCUUCAUCCUCACAUGGUCCAAAUUUGAUUUCAUUUUUUUUUCACCUUCAAAAACUUUUUUAUUAAAAGAACACUACAAAGAGUAUGAUCUUGGUAGAAAGUUAAUAUUCCCAUGGGGUAUAAGGAAACAUCCCCUGGACAUUUCUUACUAAAGUCAAUUUAUUGUAAUAGAGUUCAAAAACUAGAAGCAAUGUGUGUUCCCUCC